GUGUGUUGGCGGAAAAAGAAAAUAAAAGAUCUCAAGAUGUUUGAGAGGUUUUGCGUAGGGCAGUUGUGUGUUGAAUUGAAGGUCCUCUUUUUGUUUCAUGAUUUCUUGUAUUUAUAGCACCCACUCCUUGAGACCGAAUCGAACCCCUAUCUAGAUUGGGAGUUCUUGUCUCGUUCCAACUUUACUUCGAACAACCCUACUCCCAUUAGGACUUUGAACUUUCCCCCCUUUCGAGGCUUUAUUCCUCGCUAGCCCAGAAUCCUGGUUGCACCAGGACUUCCUCGACCCUUUUUAUUUAUCUCGAUUACUCCUUCUUAGGAUAGGACUCGACUGACCCUGCUAACUGGCCCAGAAUCUAUCAAGCAGCCCAUAGUAUUUGACACAGCUUUGGGCCAAGCACAACCUUAUGCUCGGCCCAACAAUAUUAUUUCGGGCCCAAACAUUGCCCCCUCGCUUCUGAGGUCACCGACUGUCAACCUUUGGUUGGGCUUCGACCUUGAAGAAGCGGAACCAUCUUUUGCCUUUUAGACUUCGCUUUUCUUGAUAACCAUUACUAUGCACAUUUAUGGGAUAUGAUUGCACUAUCCUCGUUACUCUCGAUGUACAGCCACGUGUCGACUCUCUGCCAAUCCUAACAACUUUCAAUCAUGGCCCUCGAAAACGUGCACCCACCGCAGGGUCUCUUCCUCAUUAAUGCAUUAAAACUGCCGCCGCACGCAAUCGUGCGUCAUGGAUCCUUGAAAAUCCCGAUCCUAUCCUUGCAGGUUCCCAAAAUAUCCGAAAUGAUUGGGGCCAUUUCUCGGUUAAAUUUCCCCCCAAUUCAACUAGUGCUUUCGAAUACCAAACGUUUGAUCUUCUUUCUGAAACGCCUAUAAAUACCCAAAUUUCUACCAUUCGUAUCCCACGCUUUCAGAAAUUUUGAAAUCUUCCCUUUUCCAUUCCUGCUUGCUCAAACAACGCCCUCAAGUUCAUCUCUUUGAAACCCCAUUUUUAAACCUAUGCCCUACUCUAUUCCUUACCAAUGGCCUCCUUCAUCUCCAAACUUUCCGACGAGUGCAAUAAAUGCAAGGAUUUCAUCGACCGGAGCGCCAUCAAAAUGCUAUGCUUCGAAAAUGAUCUAGCCACCACUCCCAAAUUCUGGGUCCAUUAUUCAAAGAUGUAGUGCCGUCGUGCAUCACCAACCUUCUCAAGGAACAAUCCUUAACACCCUUGCUGCAGGGGUUCGAUUGCUCGAAAUGGUGCUUGGCACGGCCCUAAGGAGCUUGGCCCUCGACUACUGCAGCCUGGGCCGCCUGGGUCGACCGAAUGAGCACAUUCUUCGGCAAAGAGUGGAAAGCUUUCGGCAUUUAUGAUGCCAUCAUGCUCUCGACCAUGGAGAUUACCAUGGAUAGAUAACUGCUCAUGGCGGCCCUGAGUUUAUGGUGUUCGACUACCAACACCAUGAUCCUCCCUUUCGGCCCUUUAGGCCCCACCGUCCUUGACAUCUCGGCUAUCCUUGGGACUUCCCCGUUUGGUCUCCCAAUUGAUGCCGCCCUUUCCAAAUGCCCCUCGCCUCUCGACCUAAAAGCGCUAUUCGACGAAUGGGCCGUCGAGACACUCAGUCGAGGCGAUAGGGAGCCUUCGAAAGAAGAAAUUCAGAAGCUACACAAGAACUUCUUCAACUACAACACUCUUAUCCUUCACUUCGCCAGCCGAGGCGAGGAGAGCCUUAGGAAGGGAGAACAUGAAGCCUUCCUAUUUUACUGGUACAACAAAUUCAUUUGUUGUACUAGGUCGAACAAAUGCUUGGUCGAGAAUAUGCCGGUGGCUCAGGCCCUGGCUAGUGGUCAUUCCUUGGCGCUCAGUCCGGCCAUCGUUGCCAAUCUCUUUCGUUGUUUGGCCGAGAUGACCAUCAACAAAAUUGACCUGCAUCAGAACGGACCCCUCUGGAUAUUCCAACUCUGGCUGCAGGUUUACUUCUCCACCCUUCGGCCCGAGGUUCCCGUUUUCCAGCGCACUGCAGCACUCGGCCCUCAACUAGCCUCUCGACCGGCACCUCCUCACCGAGCCGACGAAGUCCUUAAACACUUCUUCAGCCUCAACGUCCUCUCUAACGACGAGUUCCUGGUGUGCCGGUGUCAAGAAUACCCCGCCUCGACUAGGCUUCCGACGGCAGCGUGGGCCGAGAUCGAAGAUGCUGAUCUUCGUCAACAUUAGGGGUCAUUCGUACUGGCCCGCGACCUCCCCCUUGGUUGCGAUGCCCGCCAAGCUAGCUGGGAGGUUUAUCAUCCCCAUUUCGUCACCCGGCAGCUCGGCUACCUCUAAGGUUGCCCCAUACCCCUGCUCGCUUCUCGCUCCCUCUUAAGUCGAGGACGCCUCUCUGGUUCCUCCGAGAGGGAGUGUAAGAUGACGAAACAAGAGUUUUAGGACAAGUGUAGAAAAUUUUAGCUUCGACCGACCGUUCCUGAAUCUUUGGGUACCGACACCUUUGGGGACUGGUGGGACGAGUACACCCGUGACUUCUUCGGCGUCUCGGUCGGAGACGUGGUAAGCAGAAUCUUCGGUGACCAGCCCAGACAAGCUCCUGCGGCCCAACCCAAGGUACAUUGUCCUUUCGUCCUUUGUACUUCAACUACUCGCCUCUGUUACUGAUUACUUCGCUAUCUCAGGUGGUCGUGUGUUGAGGAAGGCGGAGGUGGUCGCCGCGGUGGUGAGGACGAAAAAAUUGGUCCCCACGAAGAAGACCAUUAUCACCGGGCGGACAUUAUCAGCCAAACGCCCCCACCAAGACGCUGAGCCGGGGGAUAACGCUCCUCGCCCUUCCAAACGCGUCAAGAAGUUGGUGAAGAAAGGUGACCGGGAGAUCCAUGUUGUUCCUAGCGACACCACAGGGACAAUUGUACCUGCCGGCUCUCCUUCUAUCCCGGCUGCCCCGGCUUCGGUGGACCCUCUUCCUCCAGCCGUCCCUACGACUAGGGUUAUGGUCGAUCCGGCCGUCGUACCAGCUACAGCUUCGGAGUCGGCCAUUGCGCCUGCCUUGGGGAAAACGGCCGCACCCGACUGUCAUUCUGGAAGAGGACGAUGAGAGCGACGAGAGCGACGAGAUCCCGCUGGAGUGUCGCCCUCGACCAGCCAACUCUCCUCCCGUCCAUCCUCCUUUUGUGGUCGAGGCAGCCGUCCAACCGGAUCCCCCUACGGCGGAUCGUGGGAAGAGGCCCCUGACUGAUCCUGAGGCGACGGCCGAAACGCCGCUCCAUCCGCAGGAUGAAGACCUCCCCAUUCCUCCACAAGAAGUUUCCUCGGCCUUUGUAAGUUUUAUUUCUUUUGUGUUGAUUUUAUCAUGACACAUUUGUCCUUAAAGAAAUAUUAAAUGUCAGGUGCCCGAACGUUCAUUUCAUCGACAAUUUUAUGUGCCGACAGGCGUUAUCUAUAUUUCCUAGCCACCGUCGUGCCCAUCAAAUGUAGAUAACCUCCAUCGGCCGCAUGAAUUGAGAAGCGGUCUUAGGCACUGGGCUCGGCCAUUAAGUUCCCUGGGUUCGAGCAAUGACCCAGAGGGCAUGGCUGAAGUCUCCUCCCGGUAGGUCUAAAAACAAUCCCUUUGUCAUGCACUACAUGUAUUUCACGCCUUAUUUUCCUUUACAAAUUUUCCUCUAU